GGCAGGCUUAACACAUGCAUGUCGAGCGGUAGCAGAUCUAGCUUGCUAGAUGCUGACGAGCGGCGGACGGGUGAGUAACGCGUAGGAACCUGCCCAGUAGUGGGGGAUAGCCCGGGGAAACUCGGAUUAAUACCGCAUACGCUCUACGGAGGAAAGAGGGGGCUUCGGCUCUCGCUAUUGGAUGGGCCUGCGUGAGAUUAGCUAGUUGGUGAGGUAAUGGCUCACCAAGGCGACGAUCUCUAGCUGGUCUGAGAGGAUGAUCAGCCACACUGGGACUGAGACACGGCCCAGACUCCUACGGGAGGCAGCAGUGGGGAAUAUUGCACAAUGGGCGCAAGCCUGAUGCAGUCAUGCCGCGUGUGUGAAGAAGGCUUUCGGGUUGUAAAGCACUUUCAGUGGGGAGGAAGGCCUCGUAGUUAAUAGCUGCGAGGAUUGACGUUACCCACAGAAGAAGCACCGGCUAACUCCGUG
rnacentral:rRNA from 1 species